rnacentral:rRNA from 1 species
UACGUAGGGGGCAAGCGUUAUCCGGAUUUACUGGGUGUAAAGGGAGCGUAGGUGGAUUGUUAAGUCAGUUGUGAAAGUUUGCGGCUCAACCGUAAAAUUGCAGUUGAAACUGGCAGUCUUGAGUACAGUAGAGGUGGGCGGAAUUCGUGGUGUAGCGGUGAAAUGCUUAGAUAUCACGAAGAACUCCGAUUGCGAAGGCAGCCUGCUGGACUGUAACUGACGCUGAUGCUCGAAAGUGUGGGUAUCAAAAAGG